GGAAGGGCAGUCGUCCGCGCUGGCUGGGCAGGGAGCGGCAGCAGCGAGCCGGGGACCCCGGCGCCGCCCGCGCGCGGUGGGACUGGGGCUGCGGUCCCGGCCGGGUGGCGGGCUCCUGGGACACGUGACCGGGGCGGCGAGCGGGCCGGGCGGACGGGCUUCCGCCUGGGCCGGGCGCGGCCCCCUCUGAGCGCCCGCCUCCCCGCAGGCCCCGUCUGAGGUCUGGCAGUCAGAGACAGCCGGGCGCCCACGGCCCGAGCGCCCACGGCAGCACCAUGCCCGCACUCCUGGAGCGCCCCAAGCUUUCCAACGCCAUGGCCAGGGCGCUGCACCGGCACAUUAUGAUGGAGCGGGAGCGCAAGCGGCAGGGUGAGCCGGGGCCAUAGCAGGGGGACGCACGGCCCAGAAUGGCUCCUGUACCUCAAGGCUGGCCUCAACCCACCGGCCAACCAGCGCGCCCGCUGCCGAGCGCAGAGGAGGGAAGGAAUAGCCCCGUUGUGGUGGGAUUUAAGCGUCCUGUUCCACGCUCCAGAACCCUUGAGAUGGGAAGGACCUUGGAGAGCACCUGAUAAAGCCUUUCCGUUCCCUAUUGCCGCGAUGGGGAGCUUGUCCCCUCGAGGCAAAGAGCAUACAGGCGUGUUGGGAUGACUGGGUUUUGCUGGUCUUCAAUCUGUAACGUUGGAAUUGUUUUCACUACCCUGCCUCUUCUUCAUUCUGCCUGAUUCUCCAGAGGAAGAAGAGGUGGAUAAGAUGAUGGAACAGAAGAUGAAGGAAGAACAGGAGAGAAGGAAGAAAAAGGAGAUGGAAGAGAGAAUGUCAUUAGAGGAGACCAAGGAACAAGUAAGCAGUCCCUUGAACUUUCCCAGCUUUGAUUUCUUCGUUUGACUCUCCCUGCCUUCAUCUUCUUUUCCCACCCCAUCCCAGAUUCUGAAGUUGGAGGAGAAGCUUUUGGCUCUACAGGAAGAGAAGCACCAGCUUUUCCUGCAGCUCAAGAAAGUUUUACAUGAGGAAGAAAAACGGAGGCGAAAGGAACAGAGGUGGGAUCAGAGUGCUAAAAACUGAAAUGGGGGCCAAGUGGAACUGGGAUCAGGUAGUAAAAGAACCAGUGUUUAAUGGCAAAAGAGAAGGCAUCUGUCCUUGACUUUGACCUGUCUUCCUUUCACUCCAGUGACCUGACCACCCUAACAUCAGCUGCAUACCAGCAGAGCCUGACUGUUCACACAGGAACUCAUCUCCUCAGCAUGCAGGGUGAGGACUAAAGAAACCACCAGAUGGAACCGGCCUUCUUGGAGGUCACAGCCUCCCAUUUCAGCAUCAUGAAGCCCUUCUCCCUUUCUAGGGAGCCCUGGAGGACACAAUCGCCCAGGCACCCUCAUGGCAGCUGACAGAGCCAAACAAAUGUUUGGACCCCAAGUGCUUACGACCCGGCACUACGUGGGCUCAGCAGCUGCUUUUGCAGGGACACCAGAGCAUGGACAAUUCCAAGGCAGUCCUGGUGGUGCCUAUGGGACUGCUCAGCCCCCACCUCACUAUGGGCCCACACAGCCAGCUUAUAGUCCUAGUCAGCAGCUCAGAGCUCCUUCGGCAUUCCCUGCAGUGCAGUACCUAUCUCAGCCACAGCCACAGCCCUAUGCUGUGCAUGGCCACUUUCAGCCCACUCAGACAGGUUUCCUCCAGCCUGGUGGUGCCCUGUCCUUGCAAAAGCAGAUGGAACAUGCUAACCAGCAGACUGGCUUCUCCGACUCAUCCUCUCUGCGCCCCAUGCACCCCCAGGCUCUGCAUCCAGCCCCUGGACUCCUUGCUUCCCCCCAGCUCCCUGUGCAGAUGCAGCCAGCAGGAAAGUCGGGCUUUGCAGCUACCAGCCAACCUGGCCCUCGGCUCCCCUUCAUCCAACACAGCCAGAACCCGCGAUUCUACCACAAGUGACCAUCAGAUUAUAUCUUCAACACCACACCCCCCACCCCAUCGUGGGUGAGGGUAUCCCCUGUGUGUCCCAGGCCAAUAAAAUCUACCUGCCAC
rnacentral:lncRNA from 1 species